rnacentral:rRNA from 1 species
UACGAAGGGUGCAAGCGUUUUUCGGAAUUACUGGGCGUAAAGGGCGCGUAGGCUGGUUUGUAAGUCAUCUGUGAAAUCCCCGGGCUUAACCUGGGACGUGCAGCUGAAACUGCAGAUCUUGAAUGCUUGAGAGGGUGGUGGAAUUCCAGGAGUAGAAGUGAAAUUCGUAGAUAUCUGGAGGAACACCUGAGGCGAAGGCGGCCACCUGGCAAGACAUUGACGCUAAAGCGCGAAAGUGCGGGGAGCAAACAGG